rnacentral:rRNA from 1 species
AUAUCAAUAAGCGGAGGAAAAGAAACCAACAGGGAUUGCCUUAGUAACGGCGAGUGAAGCGGCAAAAGCUCAAAUUUGAAAUCUGGCACCUUCGGUGUCCGAGUUGUAAUUUGAAGAAGGUAACUUUGGGGUUGGCUCUUGUCUAUGUUCCUUGGAACAGGACGUCACAGAGGGUGAGAAUCCCGUGCGAUGAGAUGCCCAAUUCUAUGUAAAGUGCUUUCGAAGAGUCGAGUUGUUUGGGAAUGCAGCUCUAAGUGGGUGGUAAAUUCCAUCUAAAGCUAAAUAUUGGCGAGAGACCGAUAGCGAACAAGUACAGUGAUGGAAAGAUGAAAAGAACUUUGAAAAGAGAGUGAAAAAGUACGUGAAAUUGUUGAAAGGGAAGGGCUUGAGAUCAGACUUGGUAUUUUGCGAUCCUUUCCUUCUUGGUUGGGUUCCUCGCAGCUUACUGGGGCAGCAUCGGUUUGGAUGGUAGGAUAAUGACUAAGGAAUGUGGCUCUACUUCGGUGGAGUGUUAUAGCCUUGGUUGAUACUGCCUGUCUAGACCGAAGACUGCGUCUUUUGACUAGGAUGUUGGCAUAAUGAUCUUAAGCCACCCGUCUUGAAACACG